AAUGGAACACCAUAUAAAAUCGACUUGGGAUGAGGGAUAAAUCACCAUAAACCCAUAAACUUGUCGUUGUAAUGCGUGUGGGCCAUUUCUGCAUUUAAUGAGUCGUCCAAUAUAUAAAUACUUUAUUAUAUAAUCUGCAAGUAUACAAAUUGUAACCCAAGUUUACAAUUAUGUUCCAAUAAAUAUGAACAAUAUCUAUACUGAAAUAUUUGCAUGCAACGGAGCUUUAUUCUGACCUUAACUUAUAUACCAAAAUGCGGCUUUCAAGCCAUACUGAAUUCUAUAUAUGAAAUACUAAAAUAACUUUACUUUAAUUGAAACAUUUUAAACAUUGCUAAAAGAAUAAAUAAAUUUACAAGUACCUGCAGCGUAGACAUUAGUCUGCCGCCUCCCCGAUUGUAAUAAUGACCAGUGACUAACUUUAAAAGUGAAAUUGUAUUAAUAUAUAUAUGGUUAGUAUUGCCGCGCUUUGAGCUCAUGCAAAACUCAUGCUAUUUAAAUAUAAAUAUAUAUCAUUUAAAUAAUAAGAAUCGCUUUAACUUUCUAUUGUACUAAUUUAAAUAUUGAGUACGUAAAGCAAAGCAUAGCGUAUAAAGCUAUAGUCUAUUUCAAAAUAUGCAGCGCAAAACUAUUGUCGUCAAUCGUCAAGAAACAUGAUGAUAUGAAAUAUGAAUAUGAUAUGAAUGGAAAACAUAUAACACGGAAAACACAAUUAAUAUGAAAUGCAUAAUAAUGAACCAAAAUGGAUAAAUAUAUCCGGUGACAUAGUCAUAUUUCAGAGCUUCAAAGAACUUUAUGUGUUAUUAUCUGGUGACAUUUACACGCAUUUAUCAUUGGCGCAGAUUUAAAUUUGACAUUUAAAAAAAUAUUAGACGAGUUUAUACCUUUUCAAAUUUACCUCGUGUAAUUUACCCCCCGCGAAGGCAAUCCUUCUUGUUCUUUAAAAAGUAGUUAAAGCCCCACCUGUUAUAAUCCAAACCUU
rnacentral:lncRNA from 1 species